rnacentral:pre_miRNA from 1 species
GAAGUACUCCCUCUGUUCGGAAUUACUUGUCUCAAAAAUGGAUGUAUCUACAACUAAAAUAUGUCUAGAUACAUCCAUUUCUGCGACAAGUAAUUCCGAACGGAGGGAGUAUAUU